GAUGAACGCUGGCGGCGUGCUUAACACAUGCAAGUCGAACGGGAUCCAAGGGGUGCUUGCACUUUUUGGUGAGAGUGGCGAACGGGUGAGUAACACGUGAGUAACCUGUCCUUUUCUUUGGGAUAAGCAUUCGAAAGGGUGUUUAAUACCUUAUGUUCUGUCUGCCUCGCAUGGGGUGGGUGGGAAAGGCUUUGGCCGGAUUUGGGUGGGCUCGCGGUCUAUCAGCUUGUUGGUGGGGUGAUGGCUUACCAAGGCUUUGACGGGUAGCCGGCCUGAGAGGGUGGUCGGUCACAUUGGGACUGAGAUACGGCCCAGACUCCUGCGGGAGGCAGCAGUGGGGGAUAUUGCACAAUGGGCGAAAGCCUGAUGCAGCGACGCCGCGUGGGGGAUGGAGGCCUUCGGGUUGUAAACUUCUUUUGCUCUGAACAAGGCAUGCCAGUGGGUGUGUUGAGUGGAGGGGUUGAUUAGCGCCGGCUAACUACGUG
rnacentral:rRNA from 1 species